rnacentral:lncRNA from 1 species
GCAUUUUCAGCUUUUUAAGGUGAAAACUUUUCCUGUUCAAGUAUUUACGUCCUUUUAGUGUGAUAAGCGGUAACUUCUCACCCACACUCUCUUGACUUUAAGAAGCCUAGUGAUAAUAAUCUUAGCAUACGGUUUAGAAUCAGAAAGACUAACUAGAUCUAGGCCUGGAUCUAGGCGUUUAACCUUGCUAAGUUUGUUAUCUCAUGUGUAAACCAAGUGUAAUGCCGACCUUGCUCUUUGUACUCUGUUGGAGGGUAAAUAACAAAAUGUUUGUGGAAGACUUCAGGAAACCUUUUUUGUAUCAAAUGGUUAGAGAUAAAGUUAGAGUUAAAGCUAGGCGAAAGCUUAAAAUAAAUGAACCAAGGGGAGGAAAAACAGGAAAUAGCUUUUUUUAAAAAGGAAGAUGCUAUAACAGCAUAGGAUAACAUACUUAUUUCACAAUAUAAGAAAACUUGAUAAUGGUAGAUUGGUUGAAUGAUAACCUUAUAAGCUCCAGCUAAAAUAAACUUACUGGAGUUACUAAUAUUCUGACAAUGGUCUAAUUUACUUCCCAUCUGCCUUAAUAGGCGCUGUCAUAAAACUGAAAGAAGGAUUUUGGAGUGAGAAGAUUAGAGUUCAAAGGGUUGCCUUGCGUUUUAUAGCUGUGAAUCCUCAACCUUCAUGAACUUCAUUUGCUUUAUAAAAUCAGACAAAGAAUGAUCGCUAACAAAAACAGUCACCAUUUAUUGAGUGUUAGUUAUGGCAAACACUGUACUAAAUACUGUACUUUAAAUAUAUAUUUUUAAUCUGCACAGCAACCAUGUGAAGUAACUUUGAAUAUUAUUAGUAUUCUACCUAUGAGGAAGCUCAGGGACAAAGAGGAUAAAUUGUUUUUUGGAGGUCAUAGCUGAGAUUAAAUCAUGAAUCUACAGGACCCUCUCUUAACCCCCACAUUAUGCUAUCUCCCUGACUACCUCACACAAUUCUUUAGAAUCUCAAUUACAGUAUUUUUAAAGUACUUUAUAAAGUGCUACAGUACUGUUUUAUUUGACUAUGUAUAUAGUUAACAUAUAUAUAUUGUUAUAUAUUUAUAUGUGGCAAAUAGAGGGAUUAUAUUUUGUUGCAUUCCAACAUAAUAGUUUUGAUAGCAGAUUCCAGUUUUUCCAAGUUGAUGGGAGAUUGAUCUGCUGGGCUUGGAUUUAUUUUUCAAUGGAAGGAGUGUUGUAAUGAAAAACAGAAGCAGCUUGAAGACUUAGCAUCUACCUGGCACUGGCACUGUGUUAGGGCUAAAAAGUUUAUUUUUGAAAGCCAUCUUCCAUUUAUAUUCCACCAGAAUGCAAGCUUCAUUGAGGCAGAGACCUUAUUUUGUCAACAUAAUGUCCCCAGGGAUAUCAUUAUUUGAAUGAAUGAAUGUCAUUUAUACCACACAAAUAAGACCAAACAAAAAAGGAAAGGGAUAUACUAUUUUUGUCUGGGCUUAGAGUAUUGGAUAUCUAGAGUCGGUCAUCAUACAAUAAAUUAUUUUAAGUAAUAAUCGUAAACAAUAUAAUGGCCAGAAAAUACAGUGAACAUUUUAACUUUGUAUAUACAAUCAUGGCAGUUGAAAAGUAAGUGAAUUUCAAUAAAAGAAAAAUAUCUGUAAAAAGUAACAAUUUAAGCAACUAUUAAAUCAUACCAUUGAUGAAACAUUUUCUUGAUUUCUUCUUGAAAGCAAUUCAAAAAUAGUAAAUUUAAAAAAUAUUAUUUCCAUUCUUUGAAAUAUUUUACACAUAAACUAAAAUAUGCAUAUAUGAAACAAAGUAUUACAUUUCUCAAUAUGUACCUUGUUUCACUCUUUUAAGUUUUAAACAAAAAUGAAUGCUCCAACACUACAGAAAAAUUGAUCUUUGCUUUUUAACUCAAAGCCUAUAAAUGAAAAGAUUUCUCCAGGUUACUUAGAAACAAGGCUCCCCUUUCAGAAAACACCAUAAUUUCUAAUCUGUUGAACAACCACAUAUGUUGUCUUAUGAUAUUCCUGACUAACAUACCAUGUUAUACGAAAAAGAUUUACUUAUAAAAAUGGCUUAGGUUUUUGCUUUUCAAAUAAGAUGAACAAGUCUGUAACAAUAGCGCCCAUGCUAUUUACCCUAUUUCUGAAUUCCUAAAGCUCUUAAUCAUUCAUUCUGUAUGACUAAGUCAUAUAUUUUUUUUUAUCCCGUGCAGUGCUAAUGACAGUUCUGAUCAUACAGUGAGAAUGGUCAGACUACAUACCUGUUUGAGGAAGAUAGCAUCCCUUGUUUAUGGCUUCAUUUUGAGCCCUUAGUCUAGACGUACCCAGCAUUGAGCUCUAUCUAGUUUAAAGAAGACUAGAGCCCCAGGAAUACUAUUAGCGGUAGAAAUAAAGAAUAAAUAAGAAGCUAUUAUAAAGCAUAUCUUUAGAAAAAUUUCUAAUCCUUUCCAACCAAAACACUGAGGCAGGAGAAUUAGCCCUCCCUUGGUAUUAUACAUAUCUGUUUAUAAGCUUUCUAAGAGAGGUUUCAUGUCCUUUUCAGUUUUGAACCCUAAGUCCCUACCAUAGUACUGGGCAUGUAGUAAAAUAAAGUCUCAAAUGUUUAAAAAAAUUUUUUUAACAUUUAUUUAUUUUUGAGAGACAGAGCACAAGUGAGGGAGAGGCAGAGAAAGAGGGAGACACAGAAUCUGAAGCAGGAUCCAGGCUCUGAGCUGUCAGCACAGAGCCCAAUGCGGGGCUUAAACUCACAAACCAUAAGAUCGUGACCUGAAUCGAAGUCGGACGCCCAACCAAGCCACCCAGGCACCCCAAAUCUCAAAUAUUUUUUGAUGAUAACGUAGUGAAGAUCAAGACUCUCAAAAAUAAAACUAAAAAAUCCAAUUAAGACAAUGAAAACAAUUUUAAUUUGUAAGUAUUCUUGGUAACUUUAAUGGAUACAAAUAUUUAAAAAUAUUUGAAGAGACACUGGGAACCAAAAUAAUAGUUCACUCGUUUGUCCUCUUUCUGUGUUCGCUAAGAAAUCACUUUCUAGUUCUUCCUCUUUAACCAGAAAAAAAGUUAUAUUCCAAUCAAAACCUUGAGCUAUGCCUGAGUACGAAGACUUCAUCUCAUUUUUAGCAAUAUUAAAGGUGAAAAUGAUAAAGCUAAAAACACAUUGAAUUAUAGUUGAUAUUUUAGCAAAUUGCUUAAUAGUCACUGCUUCAGACCGCAAAAAGAAACACUGAGGCAACAUGUUCUAGUGGCACAAGUGAAUAGAAAAGGCUGAAUGACAUCCUUAAAUUACUCCCAACACUCCUUGAUUAGGUUUAACCUGGGUAAGUUAUUCAUCCUCACUGAUCAUCAUUUUGUUCUAUUUCUGCAAUGGAGACAUCUCUUAAUUGAUUAGGGCAGUAUUUAUUUUUUCCCUUUAGAGUUGAAAGAGCUGAGCCACUGAGAAGGGUAAGCUACUUUCUUAAGAUGAAUAAGAUGGUACAGAGGAGAUUCAAAUUAAGAUUUUUUUUGAUCCAAGUCUGGUGUUCUUUUUUCUACUGUACCAAAUAAUUGUGUGAACUCAGUAAGCUGGACUAGAUCAAUAGUUUUCAGCCCUGGCUGCAUAUUAAAAUCACCUGGAGCAUUUUAAAACUGCAUAACUGCUUGGGUCCCACCCCACAUCAAUGAAGCCAAAAUAUCUAUGCUGGAAGUUCUACCCACCAGUAUUUUUUUAAGGCCUCCUUGAGUGAUUCUAAUGUAUCGCUAAAAUUGGAAACGACUGAACUAAUUGCUAACUUCCCUUCACAUUAAAAAGUCUAUGAAUGAAUCCUGAACUCUACUUAUUUUGUUAUUCUUCAUCCCCAAGAUACAUAUCUCCACUCACAAUUUUUUGCAUAGUAUAGUGCAGUAACACUUUAAUCACUGGUAUAACUUACCAAGAUAUUAGACCUGUCAGAAAAAGGCAUAAAUAUUUCUGAGAUUCUUGUUAAAAAAGUAUUCUGAAAAUCUGCUAACAUUAUAGCCAAAGUUAUUGAAUUAUUAAUGGAACCACUCUCAACUAGUCAGCGCCAAUGAAAAGAAAGUAAGAUGGAAUACUUGGCAACCAUAGGAUGAUCAAAUUCAUAAGCUCUAGAUUAACUUGUCUGUGGAUACUUGCCAUUUGGCUGCUCAGUAUGCAAAUACCUCUCCUAUUUGAUUUAAUCCCAAACUAGGUAGAAAGGAAGAAGAAGGAGGGCAAAUAGAUGCAUUCCUUUUCCUAUCUCCCUGGUAGCUAGGGUUUGGGUAAGUGGGCUCAACCACUUAAUUAAUCAAUGUCCUACUACAGGCUUUGAAUUUUGAGAGAUUCAGAAUUACAGAGUUGCUGUGACAAGUGCCCAGAGUGACUGAGUCCAAUAAGAUGGUGGCAGAAGUGCCAAUGGCAACAAGUGUUAUAGUAAAAGCACUAGAAAACUGUUCUGUGGCAUAGUCUCAACAGGGCCUUUUCUCUGUCUCUACAAUCUUCCUGACAAUUCUUUGGUCUCCUAAUAUACUUCCAAUAAAAUUAUUUUCAGUUCAAGUUAACCAUGGUCAGUUUGAUUGUAAAUAAGAAUGCUGAAUGGCAAACAUUUUAAUUUAAAGAAUGAAAAAUAAAAUCUUUGACUAGGACAUUUGGGUAGCUCAGCUGAUUAAGUGUCUGACUUGAUUUUGGCUCAGGUCACGAUCUUACAGUUUGUGGGAUUGAGCCCCGGGUCAGGAUCUGAGCUGAUACCGUGGAGUCUGCUUGGGAUUCACUCUCUCCCUCCCUCUCUGCCCCUCCCCCGCUUGUGCUUGUGCUUUAUCUCUCAAAACAAAUAAACAUGAAAAAAAUAAUAAAUGAGUAAAAAAUCUUUAACAUUGUGCAAACUAGAGAUCUGAUUAUGCUAGUAAUUUUACCAUUAUGUGGCCAUUUGGAGAUGGAGUCAGACGAGUAGAAUUCUAGAAUCAUCAUUUCCAACCAGUUAAAGUUGUGUUUUUUUUCCAUGGAAGUACAUGACUAUCAUUUUUAUAUCAACCAUUUGAAUUAAGAUUGUUGGAGUGGGAAACAUUUCAUUUCCUGGAGAUAAUCAUAACAUUUCCUGUUAAGAAGAAGCAUAUAGAGGAUCCUGGGUAGCUCAGCUGUUAAAGCGUCUGACUCUUGAUUUUGGCUUAGAUGAUGAUCUCACAGUUGUGAGAUCCAGCCCCACGUGGAGCCCCACAUCUCUGCCCACAUCUCUGCACUGGAAAUGGAACCUGCUUGAGAUUCUCUCUCUCCUUCUCCCCCUGCUCCUCCCUCAUUUGCGCCCACCCCCCCCCUGGGGGAAAAAAAAGAAGCAUAUCAUGUCAGAAAUUUGGUUUUAGGUAUCAGGAAAGUAUUUUUAAGCUAAAACAAGAUUAUUAUUUCUGUCUAAACUGACAGUGCAAUAUUGAUUUUCUGAAAAAGUUUUUUUUUUUUUUUUUAAGAACAGAGCAGCUAAGUCGUUCAGAUUGCUUAACUGAAUCCUCCAAGCUUUGUAAUUAAGUGAUAAAACAACAGUUUGUGUGUAGUGUUUACAGUAAGAGUUGUCGGGCUCUGUACUAUCAGUUACUCAGAUGUGUUGUUAUUAUACAAUAACAUACUGUAUGGCUGUGUGUUGGUAUGGAUAGUGUGCUCUUCAGGAAGACAUUCAAGGGACACCAAAUAGCUGAGGGCUAAAACUAACCUUGUUCUAUCUUUAUGGUGGUUCCAGCUUUAAAUUUCUUAAUUUAUAGGCUUUGUUUUUUGCUUUAUCUUGUUUUGUUUCUGUUUUGUUAGUUUUCUCCUGUUGUUAGAGAUAUAUGAAGGAAACGGCACGUAAGUAAAAUACUGACCUCUGAUUGAUGAAUGAGUCACAAUGGUACUAAACAAAUAGAUUUACUGAUUUAAAACAUCAUGCAAUAUUAGCUCUUUAUAUUAGUUUUUUUUUUCCUUUAGCAUAGUAUUCUGCAUUUGAUCUGCCUUACUUCCUGACUUGCUGGUAAGGGAUUCAGCUUCUCAAGGAGAUCUUUCUAAUGGCCAAGUUGGUGGUGAAAGCAAAGAUGGAAGAACUUUCCAUGUUACAGGACCCAGAGAAAAAAUUAAUCGUCCAAAUCUCAAGAAAAGGUGGUAAGCCACUAAAUUUAAAACUGUUUAUGGAUUAGAAACCAAAUAAAUAAGAUGAUUUUAAAUGCCACACAGUGCUGCUUCAGAGAGAGAACAAAUGAAUGAAUAUAAAAAUGAGUGAGAAAGAAGAAGAAAGGAAGGAAGAAGAAAAAGAAGGGAGGAAUAAAGGAGAAAAGGAGAUAAUUGUGUUGAAAAAGGGAGCUUGGCAAUCUUGUAAACUGAUACCUUAACCUAAUCCAAACCUAGCUUUGGGUUAGAAAGGAAAGAUUCCUUAGAAAAACAUAACCAGGUAGAUUAAGAUGAGAUUUCCUCCUCCAUAACCUUCUUUUAUUUUGCUUCGUGUACACGUCAUAGGCAUACCAAGAACAAACAAGGGAGCAGUUUUUGCUGUUGAGUACCUUUGGACUUUCAGUAUACAACUGUCUGUAGUAGGUCCUAUUCUAAGAUACAGUUUUGAGCACAGUGUCCAAAAUUUAUGUGUGGAAAUGGUUGUAAAAUCCUAGGUAAAUGUUGCACUGUAACCAAUUUAACAAUGAUUUAUCUGGGCAAAAUUUAUGGGUUUGUUUCCUUUCUGUGUUAAGAAAGAUUUAUGUUUCAAUAGGCUUAGAAAGACACCUACUGGAUUGUGUGUCCACAGUAACAGAUAAUAUAAACCUACUAAGCCAAAAUCUGGCUUCAGGGUAACAUUACAAUUUCACAGACUGGAGUCUAGAGUGCUAUGACCCUCUCUGGUGAACUAGGACAACAGUGCUUGUGGUCUCUUCACUGUGGAAGGAAGGUCAGCUACCCAGUGUGCCACCUUCCCAAACUAACUAGAUUAUUGCUGGAAAAGGAAAGUUCUAGAAUUCUUGAAGCAGUUUCUGAUAUUGGGACUUCAUUUUUUUCUUGUAUUUCUUUUUAUUAAAAAAAAUUGUUUUUAAUGUUUAUUCAUUCCUGAGACAGGGAGACAGAGCAUGAGCAGGGGAGGGACACAGAGAGAGAGGGAGACACAGAAUCCGAAACAGGCUCCAGGCUCUGAGCUGUCAGCACAGAGCCCAAUGCGGGGCUUGAACCCAUGAACUGUGAGAUCAUGACCUGAGCCAAAGUCGGACGCUCAACCGAGUGAGCCACCCAGGCACCCCGGGACUUCAUUUUUAAAUGUAAACACGGGUCUUUCCGCUGCUUAUAUCUUUUUGACAUUAUAAGUCAUGAAUUCAACAUGCUUACCCAGUAAUAACCUUGGUUAUGUAAGGUUAACCUGAGACUUUAUAACAAUUUGAUAUGGACACAUCCUUAACAGUAUAUCAAAGAUUCUAGGAGUAGAACAAGUUUCCCGAUACAUAUGGGUGGAAUAGAGGCAUAAGCCUAUGCCCGGUGCAUAGGAUGUCUUUGGAAACAGCUACCUGCCCCCCUUCCACAGGAAUAUAGUAGUAGAUUCCUGACAGUCCUGGUUUUUCCGUGAGACUCUUCAACACAUACAUUUCUGGUCAUACCAGUUGGACCACAGGUAGAUUCAUUAUUCUAAUUGGCCAAUCAGAUUCUCAUUCCUGAGAAUUUAAAAUCAGAUGUGAAGAAGGGCCAUAUUAGUCUGUCUCUUCCCAGUGGAUCCAUAUCCUACUAACUAGGGACUGGGUCACGGCCAUAUUCAGCUUUGAGUAUUGGGUGGCAGACAGAAGUUAGUCUUCAGGGACAAAGAAGAAAAAAAACAGAUGUACAGAAAGGAGCAGAGACAAAACAGAUUAUUUCCUAGGUUCCAGUGCACAGUUCCAGGCCCUUCUUGGUGUCUGUCUGCAUACCAACCUUUGAGUUUUAUGAGACAUCCUGUAUCUUUGUAUAAAAUUACCUUUCUUCUUGCUAAAGGGAGCUCCAGUAGGAUGCUGCUACUUACAAAUAAAAGUACGAACUUUACAAAAUAUGACAAUGUAGUGCAUAAGCAAAAAAAAUUUUUAAAAAUAAAGUAAAUGUGUCAAAGUUGCAGACUUUUAUGCCUUAUGAAGAAUUAUAUACGAUAUACAAAUAUCUAAUGCAUAAUAACUGCCAUCACUGUUGCAUAAUAAAACCACAUUAGAAUUAGGGUGGGAACGAGUGGCCUACUGGUAAAUCUAAUUCAUUAUAUAAAAAGCUCUAAACAAGUCUGUAACCUGGUCUUUUGACCUCUCCCUGAAUUGCUUUAUAGAGCUCUUCAAAUAAUUUUUUUAAGUUUUUAUUUAUUUUUAUUUUUGAGAGAGCAUGAGCAGGGGAGGUGCAGAGAGAGAGGAAGACAGAGGAUCUGAAGGGGUCUCUGCGCGGACAGCAGAGAUCCCAAUGUGGGCCUUGAACUCACGAACCAUUAGAUCAUGACCUGAGCUGAAGACAGAAAAUGCUUAACUGAGUCACCCAGGCACCCCCAGAGCUCUUAGAAUAAUUUAAUGUAUUCUGAUACAUUAUAGCAAUAGUUAUCUUAAUGUGGGAGGAGAAAAGGACAUCACAGAAUCACUGGAGGAGUUUUUCCAUUAGCAUCACUUGCCCUAAACAGAAGGCAAUUAUAAAAAUUAAUACAAUAGACUUCCGCUUCUGGGAAGAUGGGGUAGACAUACUUUUUCCAGUUCCACUCUCUAAGUACAGCAAAAAUCCCUGGACAUUACAUAUUCAACAAGCAUAAGAAAACUCUGAAAGACGGAGAGAAGAAAGCAGACUGCAGCUGGACUAGAGACCAAGCAGUGACAUGGUAGUGAGUUCCCUGGGUUUGCUUUUUCCUCAUAUAUCCCAGACUUGGAGCUUAAGAAGUCAGAAAUGCCAAAAACAAAACAAAAAACUCUAACCAAAGAAUGCUCUCUUUACCCAAAGGAUUAGGAAAGGGGCAACCUAGCAAGACAGAAAACUUUUGGAAAAUAACCACUGUACUCCAGCCAAACAACAAAGAAAAGACUGUGGCCCUACCUUCACCCAUGGUAGCAAAGGCCAGGUGAGUAGCUUAGAUUUCCACCUUUGCUGGAAUUUCUUUUUCUUUUUUUUCUUUCUUUCUUUUUUUUUUUUUUUUUUUUUUUUUUUUUUUUUUUUUGAGAAAGAGACAGAGAGGGUGCACACUGUCAGCACAGAGCCCGACACUAGGCUCAAACUCAUGAACUGUGAGAUCAUGCCCUGAGCCAAAGUCAAGAGUCAGAAGCUUAACUGACUGAGCCACCCAGGCACUGCUACCCUUGCUGGACUCUUCAUGAGGUGCACCACCACUAGGUGGAGUAGAGAAUAGGGGCUUUUAUCCCCACCAGGGGGGUAACAAGCCCCAUGCAAACACUCGGUGUCAGUGGAGACCAGGUGGAAAACUAGACUUCCACCUCCAUUGACAGGAGGCACCCCUUUCUGUCUGCUGGGGUAGAAUCAGAAAAGUCCUAGUGGAGAGUCAGUAUUUUUAUAGUAACAAGGCCACCCCUUCUUCCCAACACCUCACUCAUCCCCAACACCCCUCACCACUUGUGGUGUAGUGUUAAUGAAAAAACAUGUGGGAGCAGUAAUGAGGUAUUCGUAUCCCUUCCAACCAGGGAGGUAUCACUGGAAGCCUGGUGGGAAGCCAGUACUCCCACCCCUACCCAGCAGUAACAAGGAGCCUCCCAUUAGGGUGUCAACAAAGUCUGAGUGAGGAACCUGGACUUCUGAAUCAGGACUACCUAACCUGGUGGUAAUUAGAUGGUGCUCCACUUUUCCUGUUGGAGAGGUGUGAGAGGAAGCCAGCUAAAACAGAAAGUUAAAUAAGGUCCAGAUUGUUAUAAUAUUCAAAAUAUUCAGAUCUCAACCAAAAUUCACUUAUCAUACCAAGAUCUCAGACUGAGUGAGAAAAGACAAUCAAUAAAUGCCAACACUACAACGAUAAAGAUGUUAGAGUUAUCUGACAGAGAUUUUACGGCAGCCAUCAUAACAUUGCUUCAGUGAGCAAUUGUGAACACAGUUGAAUCAACUGAAAAAAUAGUCUCAGCAAAGAAAUAGGAAGUCUCAGCGAAUAUUUAGAAGAUACAAGGAAAAACAAAUGGAAAUUUCAGAACUGAAAAAAUAUAAUAACAAACAGCUCAGUUGAUGGGCUCAACAGCAGAAUGAUAGGGACAGAGGGAAAAGUUUGUGGACUGGAAGAUACAGCCACUGAAAUUACCCAAUCUGAACAACAGAGAGAACAUAGAGUAAAAAACAUCAAGAAGAGCCUCAGAGACCUGUGGGACUAUUACAAAACUGCUAAUGUUCAUAUCACUGGAGCCCCAGGAAAGGAGAGAGAGAGUAGGGCUUAAAAAGUUCCCUAAGAUGUAAUAUCUAAACACUUCCCCAAUUCAGCAAAAACCAUAAGCCUACAGAUUUAGGAAGUUGAAAGAACUUCCAAAUAGGAUAAAUCUGAUACACCAAAGCACAUUAUAAUCAAACUUCUAAAACCUGCAGACAAAAAAAUCUUGAAAGCAACCAGAGAAAAAAAAGCACCUUACCCACAAGGGAAAAAAAAAAUUUUUAAACAAUAGUGGAUUUCUUACCAGAAAACAUAGAGGCCAGGGGGAAGCAACAUAACAUUUUUUUUUUAAAUUUUUUUUUUUUUCCAACGUUUAUUUAUUUUUGGGACAGAGAGAGACAGAGCAUGAAUGGGGGAGGGGCAGAGAGAGAGGGAGACACAGAAUCGGAAACAGGCUCCAGGCUCCGAGCCAUCAGCCCAGAGCCUGACGCAGGGCUCGAACUCACGGACUGCGAGAUCGUGACCUGGCUGAAGUCGGACGCUUAACCGACUGCGCCACCCAGGCGCCCCAGUUGGACGUUUUUUUUAAGGCUAGGUCUGCUGGUGAAAUUCUCUUAGUUUUCCUUCAUCUGAGAAUGUUUUGAUUUCCCUAACAAUAUUUUACUGGAUAUAGGGCUCUGGGUUGACAGUUUUUUUCUUUCAUCACUUAAAAAAUGUUAUGUUGGGGCGCCUGGGUGGCGCAGUCGGUUAAGCGUCCGACUUCAGCCAGGUCACGAUCUCGCGGUCCGUGAGUUCGAGCCCCGCGUCNNNNNNNNNNNNNNNNNNNNNNNNNNNNNNNNNNNNNNNNNNNNNNNNNNNNNNNNNNNNNNNNNNNNNNNNNNNNNNNNNNNNNNAAAAAACGUCCAACAGAUGUUAGAAGUUCUCUAAAUGGAAAGAAAAGGAAUUUUUUUAAAGGAAUCUUGGAACAUCAGGAAGGAAUAAAGAACAUAGUAAGCAAAAAUAUAGGUAAGUGCAAUAGAUUUUCCUUCUUCAGUUUUCUAAAUUACAUUUGAUGAUUGCAUCAAAAAUUUAGACCACUAUCUGAUAUGGUUCUAAAUGUAUAUAGAGGAAAUGUAUUAAAGGCAAUUACAAUAUAAACAGAAGGAACAUAAAUAUGUGCAGCAAAAACUGAUAGAACUGGAAGAAGAAAUAGAUAAAUCUACACUUAUAGUUGGAGACCCCAGUGCCUCUCUCUUAACAAUUUAUAGAACAAACUAGACAGAAAAUCAGCAAGGCUAUAGAACUGAACAGUGGCAUCAACUAAUAGGAUAUAAUCAACAUUUGUAGAAUAUUUCACCUAACACACAUUCUUACCCAUGGAACAUACACCAAAAUAGACCAUAUCCUGGGCAAUAAAACAAAUCUCAGAAAAUUUUAAGGAAUGAAAUAAUACUGAGUAUAUUCUCCAACCACAAUGGAAUCAAACUGGAAAAUUAGAAAGGUAACAGGAAAGUCUCUAAAUGGAAACUAAAUAACACACUUCCAAGUAACCUAUGGGUCAAAGAGUAAGUCUCAAGGGAAAGAAAAAUACAUUGAAAUGAAUGAAAAUGCAACAUAUCAAAUUUUGUGAGACCAGCUUCUGCAGUGCUGAGAGGGAAAUUUAUAGCAAUAGAAUGCACACAUGAGAAUAAGAGGAAAAGUCACAAAUCAGUAAUCUAAGUUCCCAUCUUAGAAAACUAGAAAAAGAAGAACAAAAUAAAUCCAAAGUAACCAAAGGAGGAAAUAUUAAAAAACAGAAAUUAAUAAAAUUGAGAACGGAAAAACAAUAGAGAACAUCAAUGAAACAAAAAAGCUGGUUCAUUGGAAAAAUCAAUUAAGGCGACAACCUCUAUCUAGCAAGACUGACAAAAAAAAGACACAAAUUACUAAUAUCAGAAAUGAAACAUGAGAUAUCAAUAGACCCUGCAGAUAACAAUAUGAUAAUAAUAGAAUGCUACAAACAACUCUGCACAUGUACAUUUGACAAAUUAAAGACCAAUUCUUAAAAAGUUCAAACUACGUCAACACACCUAAUGUGAAAUAGAUAAUUUGAGUAGCCCUAUAAUUAUUAAGGAAAUUGAAUACUUUUAUUUUUUUUUUCUAAUUUUUUUUUUCUUAAGUUUAUUUAUUUUUGAGACAGAGAGAGACAGAGCAUGAACGGGGGAGGGUCAGAGAGAGAGGGAGACACAGAAUCGGAAACAGGCUCCAGGCUCUGAGCUGUCAGCACAGAGCCCGACGUGGGGCUCGAACUCACGGACCGCGAGAUCGUGACCUGGCUGAAGUCGGACGCUCAACCGACUGCGCCACCCAGGCGCCUGAAUACUUUUAAAACUCUACAAAAGAAAUCUGGUGGCUCAGAUGGUUUCACUAGAGAAUGCUACCAAACAUUUGAAGACUUUUAGGAAAUAGAAGAGGAGGGACCACAUCCCAAUUCAUUUUAUAAAAGUAGUAUUAGCCUGAUAUGAAAAACAAAUAAUUACAAAGCUGCAGGCCAAUAUUACUCAUUUAUAAAAAUGCAAAAAAUCUUUUUUAAUUUAUUUUGAGAGAAAGAAAGCGUGAGUCGGGAAGGGGCAGAGGGAGAGGAAGAGGGAGAGAAUCCCAAGUAGGCUACAUACUAUCAGUGUGGAGCCCUGAUGCAGGGCUCAAACCCAUCAACCGUGAGAUCAUGACCUGAGCCAAAAUCAGACGUUUAACUGACUGAGCUGCCCAGGGACCCCAAGAUGCAAAAUGAUUAAACAAUGUUAACAGAUAAAAUUCAGGAAUAUACAGUAAAACCUUGGUUUGUGAGUAUAGUUUCUUCCAGAAACAUGCUUGUAAUCCAAGGCACUUAUAUAUCAAAGCAAAUUUUCCCCUAAGAAAUAAUGGAAACUCAGAUUAUUUGUUCUACAACCCCAAAAUAUUCAUAUAAAAAUGAUUACAGUACUGUAAUAUAAUGCAAAAUAAUAAAGAAAACACAAAAUAUAAAGAAAAAUAAAUUAACCUGCACUUACUUUUGAAAACCUUCACGGCUGGUGUGAGGGAGACAGGGAGGAGGGUUAUUGUGUAGGACAACUUUCACUAUCACUAAUGGAAUCACUGCUAUCUAUCGGCUCAAUGGAAUCUUUUCUGCAUGGGGGCCAUUGUAUGUGUUUGCUCAGAUGUUGACUGUAGUACAGUAUUAAUAAACUGUUGUCAUAUACUGUAUUUAGUGUAGCUGGCAAUAAGGCAGAAAAGGAAAGGUUCUAUAUCUAAAGGCAGCCUGACCUAGAAUGAAGCCAAGCAUUCCUAAGCUUACUCUUGUAUGGAAAAGCAAAGGACCGUCCAUAGGUGCUUUGAAGUGACAAAAAUACACUAGUGCUAGUUGUGGGCACUUUCCAGCGUUCUGAAAAAUCACUCAUUUCUCCCAAACACCUUGGCCUGAGACCAAGCAUCUGAGCAUAGGAGAGAUGAUCACCCACAAUCCCACAGCGAGUGAGAGAGAAAGAGAGAGAAGAACCAUUGGCUCAGUUGUGAUCAUGUGAUGUUUGGCAUCACAUACUACUCAUAUUGCAAGACAUCGCUCAUUUAUCAAGUUAGAGUUUAUUAGAAAUGUUUUCUCAUCUUGUGGAACACUCGCAGAACAAGUUAUUCGCAAUCCAAGGUUUUACUCUCUAUAUAUAUUUUAAAUCCUACUCCAGGGUUACCUGGGUGGCUCAGUUGGUUAAACAUCCGACUCUUGAUUUCAGCUCAGGUCAUCCUCUCAGGGCUCUGAGAUCGAGUCCCGCAUUGGGCUCUGCUCUGGGUGUGAAACCUGCUUGAGUCUCUCUCUCCCUUUUCCUUUGCCUCUUCCUCUCUCUCUCUUUCUCUAAAAAAAAAAAAUCAUACACCAGUCAUGCACCAUACACCAUGACCAAAUGGAAUUUGUUUCAGAGAUGUAAGGUUGUCUCAGUAUUUGAAAAAUCAAUGUACUCCACCAUAUUAGCAGGCUAAAGAAGAAAGCACACAAUCAUAUUUAUCAAUGCAGAAAAGACAUUUGACAAAAUUCAGCACCUAUUUAUGUUUUUUUAUUAGUUUGUUUAUUAUUAGAGAGAGAGAGAAGGGGAGGGGCACAGAAAGAGGGAGAGAGAGAGAGAGAGAGAGAGAGAGAGAGAGAGAGAGAGAAUUCCAAGCAGGCUCCACACCGUCAGCACAGAGCCCAAUGUGGGGCUCAAACUCACAAACCAUGAGAUCAUGACCUGAGCUGAAAUCAAGAGUCAGACAUUUAACCGACUCUUGUCAGCCACCCAGGUGCCCCAGGACCUAUUUAUGGCUAAUGCUCUAAAAAAAAAAAAAAAAAAGGAACUAACUUCCCCAAGUUGCUUUUUUAAAUUUUAAUCUACAAAAAAACACUACAACUAGCCUUAUAUUCAGUGAUGAAAGACUGAAUGCUGUCUUCCUAAGAUCAGGAACAAGACAAAGAUAUCUACCCUCACUCCUCUUAUUCAGGAUUGUGCUGGAAGUUCUAGCCAGUGUGUUAAGGCAAGAAAAGGAAAUAAAAGUCAUAUAAAAUGGAAAGGAAGAGAUAGAACUGCCUCUAUUUGUAAAAGACAUGAUUGCUUACAUAGAAAAGUCCUAAGAAACCUACAAAAACAAAACAAAAAAACCCUUCUACAACUAAUUAGUGAGUUCAGAAGACUGCAGGAUUACAAGAUAAACACAAAAAUGCAUUGUAUUUCUAUAUGGUAGUAAUGAACAUAUGGACAGUGAAAUUAAAAAUACAAUAAUGUUUAUAAUUACUCAAAAAAUUGAAAUAUUUCAGAAUAAAUCUAACAAAACAUGAACAGGAUGUGUAUGCUAAAAACUGCAAAACACUGGCUAAAUAAAUCUAAGAAUAUCUAAAUACAUGGAAAGAUAUAUUGCAUUCAUGGAUUGGAAGAUUCAACAUGGUAAAUUUUCUCCAGUCAAUUUUCUCCAGUUUAAUGCAAUUCCUACAAAAUCCCAGCAAGACUUUUUGUCAUUAUAGACAAAAUUACUGUACAAUAUAUAUGGAAAAGCAAAAGAACUAGAAAAGCCAAACAAUUAAAAAAAAAAAAGCGGGAGAAAUCAGUCUAUUCAAUUUCAAGACUUGUUAUUAUAUAGUUACAGUAAAAGACUGUGAUCGUGAUGGAGGGAUAGACAUAUAGAUUAAUGGAGCACAAUGGAGAAUCUAGAUACAGACUCACACAAAUAUGCCCAACUGAUUUGUGUAUAUGUAUAUAUACACAUACAUAUGUAUACACAUACAUACGCUAUUGUAAAAUAUGUAAAACAUACAAUUUGCCAUUUUAACCAUUUUUAAGUAUACAAUUCAGAAGCACUGAUUAUGUUCACAAUGUUGUACAACCAGUACCAUCUAUUUCCAAAACUUUUCCAUCACCCUAAACAUAAACUCUAUAUCCAUUAAGCAAUAAUACCCUGCUCCCCUCAACUUCUACUUUCUGUCUCUAUGUAUUUGCUUGUUCUAGGUACUUCAUGUAGGUGGAGUCAUACACUAUUUGUCCUUUUGUGUCUAGCUUAUUUCACUUAGCACAAUGUUUUUUCAAGGCGCAUCUGUGGCAUAGCAUGUGUCAGAACUUCAUUUCUUUUUGUGGCUGAAUAAUAUUCCAUUCCACAUUUAGUCCACCCCUUCUUCAGCUGAUGGACACUUGGGUUGUUUCUACCUUGUGGCUAUUGUAAAUAACUCUGUAACAAACAUUGGAAAUAAGUAAGUGAGUCCCAGUUUUUUAUUCUUUCAGGCAUUUACCUAGGAGUGGCAUUUAUGGACCAUGAAGUACUUGUAUACUUAACUUUUUGAGGAAUUGCCAACCUGGUUUUUACAGCAGCUGCACCAUUUUAUAUUUCCACCACCAAUGUACAAGAGUUCCAAUUUCUCCAAAUUCUUGUCAACACUUGUUAUUAUCUGGUUUUGUUUGGUUUUUUAAAUUAUAGCAAUUCCU